GAGUUUGAUCAUGGCUCAGAUUGAACGCUGGCGGCAUGCCUUACACAUGCAAGUCGAACGGUAACAGGUCUUCGGACGCUGACGAGUGGCGAACGGGUGAGUAAUACAUCGGAACGUGCCCAGUCGUGGGGGAUAACUACUCGAAAGAGUAGCUAAUACCGCAUACGAUCUGAGGAUGAAAGCGGGGGACCUUCGGGCCUCGCGCGAUUGGAGCGGCCGAUGGCAGAUUAGGUAGUUGGUGGGAUAAAAGCUUACCAAGCCGACGAUCUGUAGCUGGUCUGAGAGGACGACCAGCCACACUGGGACUGAGACACGGCCCAGACUCCUACGGGAGGCAGCAGUGGGGAAUUUUGGACAAUGGGCGAAAGCCUGAUCCAGCAAUGCCGCGUGCAGGAUGAAGGCCUUCGGGUUGUAAACUGCUUUUGUACGGAACGAAAAAGCUUCUCCUAAUACGAGNNNCNCAUGACGGUACCGUAAGAAUAAGCACCGGCUAACUACGUGCCAGCAGCCGCGGUAAUACGUAGGGUGCGAGCGUUAAUCGGAAUUACUGGGCGUAAAGCGUG
rnacentral:rRNA from 1 species